UAUUGCUUAAUGGGCGCAAGCCUGAAGCAGCAACGCCGCGUGUGCGAUGACGGCCUUCGGGUUGUAAAGCACUUUUCACCGGGAAGAGGAAGGACGGUACCGGUGGAAUAAGCCUCGGCUAACUACGUGCCAGCAGCCGCGGUAAUACGUAGGACCUAAGCGUUGUCCGGAUUUACUGGGUGUAAAGGGUGUGCAGGCGGAUGGGUAAGUCAGGGGUGAAAGUCUGCAGCUUAACUGUAGAAUUGCCUUUGAUACUGCUCAUCUUGGGUGUGGGAGAGGUUGAUGGAAUUCCAGGUGUAGCAGUGAAAUGCGUAGAUAUCUGGAAGAACACCAGUGGCGAAGGCGGUCAACUGGCCCAUAACUGACGCUCAUGCACGAAAGCGUGGGGAGCAA
rnacentral:rRNA from 1 species